rnacentral:rRNA from 1 species
UACGUAGGAUCCGAGCGUUGUCCGGAUUUACUGGGUGUAAAGGGUGCGCAGGCGGACUGGUAAGUCAGUGGUGAAAUCUCGUCGCUUAACGACGAAACUGCUUUUGAUACUAUCAGUUUUGAGUUCGGUAGAGAUUUGUGGAAUUCUGAGUGUAGCAGUGAAAUGUGUAGAUAUUCGGAAGAACACCAGUGGCGAAGGCAGCAGAUUGGGCCGGUACUGACGCUCAUGCACGAAAGCGUGGGGAUCAAACAGG